rnacentral:rRNA from 1 species
UACGAAGGGGGCGAGCGUUGUUCGGAUUUACUGGGCGUAAAGGGCGCGCAGGCGGCUCAUUUUGUCAGGCGUGAAAGCCCCGGGCUUAACCUCGGAGGUGCGUUUGAUACGGAUGGGCUAGAGUUCGGGAGAGGAGAGUGGAAUUCCCAGUGUAGAGGUGAAAUUCGUAGAUAUUGGGAAGAACACCGGUGGCGAAGGCGGCUCUCUGGACCGAGACUGACGCUGAGGCGCGAAAGCGUGGGGAGCAAACAGG